rnacentral:rRNA from 1 species
CAGUAGCCGCGGUAAUACGUAGGGUGCGAGCGUUGUCCGGAAUUACUGGGCGUAAAGGGCUCGUAAGUGGUUUGUCGCGUCGUCUGUGAAAUUCCGGGGCUUAACUCCGGGCGUGCAGGCGAUACGGGCAUAACUUGAGUACUGUAGGGGUAACUGGAAUUCCUGGUGUAGCGGUGAAAUACGCAGAUAUCAGGAGGAACACCGAUGGCGAAGGCAGGUUACUGGGCAGUUACUGACGCUGAGGAGCGAAAGCAUGGGUAGCGAACAGGAUUAGAUACCCCCGUAGUCCCUGUCUCUUAUA